rnacentral:rRNA from 1 species
UACGAAGGGGGCUAGCGUUGUUCGGAUUAACUGGGCGUAAAGGGUGCGUAGGCGGGUUUUUAAGUCAGGGGUGAAAUCCCGAGGCUCAACCUCGGAACUGCCUUUGAUACUGGAAAUCUUGAGUCUGGGAGAGGUGAGUGGAACUGCGAGUGUAGAGGUGAAAUUCGUAGAUAUUCGCAAGAACACCGGUGGCGAAGGCGGCUCACUGGCCCGGAACUGACGCUGAGGUGCGAAAGCGUGGGGAGCAAACAGG